UACAGAGGUCCCAAGCGUUGUUCGGAUUCACUGGGCGUAAAGGGUGCGUAGGUGGUGGGGUAAGUCGGAUGUGAAAGCUCGGAGCUCAACUCCGAAAUGGCAUUGGAAACUACCCUGCUAGAGGAUUGGAGGGGGGACUGGAAUACUUGGUGUAGCAGUGAAAUGCGUAGAUAUCAGGUGGAACACCAGUGGCGAAGGCGAGUCCCUGGACAAUUCCUGACACUGAGGCACGAAAGCUAGGGGAGCAAACAGG
rnacentral:rRNA from 1 species